rnacentral:lncRNA from 1 species
AUGCCCCAGGGCUACCAAACCCCCCACCCGGCGCCCGGCCAGCAUUCGGACAACGUGCCCCUAAAAGGCCGGCGCUUCCCACUUCCCGGGGUCGCCUGGCGCCCGCCACUCGCCUCUCACCCGCAGCCCCACCGCGGCUCCCGCCUGGACUCCCGCUUCAGCUUUCGCUCGGGGCGUGGCGGGGGUGGGGGCGAGGAACUCGGCAACCUCUACUUCCGGGUCCGGCCGCGGCUGGUGUCCCCCCAUCUGCCCUCCGACGCGUGCUCGUCCGCGUCCGCGGGUUCCGUGGCUGGUGCGUACCGGGGGCACAGCCUCCAGACGGCCCUUGCUCGCGCGGUUGUCUGGGAUCCCCAACCCUCCACCCAGAUUCCUCCUCGCAGCGGCCCUGGGGUUGGGGAGGCGGGGGUCCCAAACCUCCAUCCUGACCCCUCUCCGCGGCCUCCCCAAAUUCUCCGCCUUAUUCUUCUCUGCCACCGCGGAAGCUUCAGGGCUCAGUCUGUGCUAAGUCAGCUGCCUCAAUGUCAGGGUCUCUGAGAGACAUGGUAACCAUAUCCUGCACAGGAAACAGCAGCAACAUUGUGGGAUGUACCUUAAACUGUACCAGCAACUUCCAGGUCUCCAAAGUCCUCACCUACAAGAACAAC